AAUUAGGUUUUUGCUUUUUCCCUCAACUCCUCCCCCAAGUGAAAUUAAGAAGCAGUGGAAAACCCACUUCUCUUUUUACCGUUUAUGGUUAACUUGUUUUGGUUCCUGUCGUGGAUGAGCUAUCUCAAUGCAAUUGGGUUAGAUUUGAAGGCAACGCAUCAAUUUUUGACGCUAUGCUGUUGCAUUCUUUUUGAGAUCCCCAUGAACUAGUUCAUCAACUGUGGUUUUAUGGAGUAGAAGAUUGGUUUUCUCGGUUAUAGAGCUAAGAUAUGGCUCAAAUUGUGGGAGAAAAUCCCUACGAGCGUUUGGAAGCUCCACCAGUACUACCAGUAUAUUUGGUCGAAGAAAUUUCCCAGAAGAUGGUGGAAGAACCUUUUGAUUGCCUGGGUGAUUGGUUGGAUCUUGGUGUCGCUCUGGACCUUCUGGUACAUGAGCUCUCUGGUGACUGAGAGGAGGAAAGAGGCCAUUGCGAGCAUGUGUGAUGAGCGGGCGAGAAUGCUUCAGGACCAGU